rnacentral:rRNA from 1 species
AUUGAACGCUGGCGGCAGGCCUAACACAUGCAAGUCGAACGAGUGGCGGACGGGUGAGUAAUGUCUGGGAAACUGCCCGAUGGAGGGGGAUAACUACUGGAAACGGUAGCUCAUACCGCAUACCAUCGGAUCUGCCCAGAUGGGAUUAGCUAGUAGGUGGGGUAACGGCUCACCUAGGCGACGAUCCCUAGCUGGUCUGAGAGGAUGAUCAGCCACACUGGAACUGAGACACGGUCCAGACUCCUACGGGAGGCAGCAGUGGGGAAUAUUGGACAAUGGGCGAAAGCCUGAUGCAGCCAUGCCGCGUGUGUGAAGAAGGCCUUCGGAUUGUAAAGUACUUUCAGCGGGGAGGCGUUACUCGCAGAAGAAGCACCGGCUAACUCCGUGCCAGCAGCCGCGGUAAUUC